CGCUUUGGCUUGUCUUAAAGGAGUUACAUCUGGCAGAACUUCUGAAAAAGAGAAAUAACUAUGUCAAAUAUAUGUGUCAAUGCCAAGACCAAGCUAAAAACAAGUAGACUGGUAUCGAAGAGUGCUCAUAUUCUGAGCUUGCACUUGGUCCAUUUGCUCUGUUUACCACUGCAUUGGAUCAGAAAAUGAUCAGACAUACAAAUCAAACCUCUAUUAGAAUUAUACAAGAUCAGAAAAAAGAUGCUCUCCUCAUGCAUCGGGUGAGACCAUGAUCGUCGGAAUCCGAACUCCCAGCCGAUCAAACCCGAAGAAGAAUGGCUCAGGCCCCAUCAUUCCAUCAGGAUUCGGAACACCUCUGUAAGGAGUGGUGGCAUGAUC